UACGAAGGGGGCUAGCGUUGCUCGGAAUCACUGGGCGUAAAGGGUGCGUAGGCGGGUCUUUAAGUCAGGGGUGAAAUCCUGGAGCUCAACUCCAGAACUGCCUUUGAUACUGAGGAUCUUGAGUUCGGGAGAGGUGAGUGGAACUGCGAGUGUAGAGGUGAAAUUCGUAGAUAUUCGCAGGAACACCAGUGGCGAAGGCGGCUCACUGGCCCGAUACUGACGCUGAGGCACGAAAGCGUGGG
rnacentral:rRNA from 1 species